ACAGCAGCAGCCGCGGUAAUACGAAGGGUGCAAGCGUUACUCGGAAUUACUGGGCGUAAAGCGUGCGUAGGUGGUGGUUUAAGUCCGUUGUGAAAGCCCUGGACUCAACCUGGGAAUUGCAGUGGAUACUGGGUCACUAGAGUGUGGUAGAGGAUAGUGGAAUUUCCGGUGUAGCAGUGAAAUGCGUAGAGAUCGGAAGGAACAUCUGUGGCGAAGGCGACUAUCUGGGCCAACACUGACACUGAGGCACGAAAGCGUGGGGAGCAAACAGGAUUAGAUACCCGCGUAGUCCCUGUCUCUUAUAC
rnacentral:rRNA from 1 species